UUUAAUUGAUAGAUAAUUAAAGGAAACAACAAGAUGAUAACAAAUUUGUUGUUUAAAUACGUUUAAAUGUACAUCUUUUAAAAUAAAACGAUGUCUCCGAGACUAUAAAAUUCAAGAUGGUGGCGCCCAUGAAAAGUCGGACAGGGAAGGAACGGUUCAAGAAAAGACAUAAUUUGACGCGCGCCGAGGUGCUUUAGAAGAUCGUACUUGUGAAAUAAACUUAUUUGGGAUUCCAUGCAUAUUUGUGAGGAAUGCUUUUAUGGUAUAACCCUAAUUUUAACCAGUAAGAGACUAAGAGUUCGUAAGAUGACUUGGAGGGUCAUCGAGUUUGAUGUUCAUUGCCUCAAAUUGCGUUCAAAUUGUCACUUCGGACCAUGAUUCUUUUGCAAGAGAGCAAUUAAAUGUGAGUGAAACUCUGGUUAGGUGGUUUUUGUACAUACAGUGUGGAAAUUGCUUGCAGUUGGCAUCGGUGUUCCUAAAAGCUGAGAAAAUCCAAAGGGAUGCAGAACUUCAGUGUCAAUACUCAAUACACAGAUUGUAACAGCUAUAAUCUACAGUUCAUUGUGGGAGACCCUCAAUGUGUCGUCAAUAUUAAAUUUACAAUUAAUAUAUGAAAGGAUUUUGAAAGUAUGAACAGUGUUCAAUGCUGAAAAAUCAAAGAACUACGGGUAUUUGUGUGUGCUGAUUGGUAAAGUUUCAUGAAGAGGAGUCUGGCAGAGACGAUGGCACUUUCUCAUCUAAGCUGAUCUAUAGCUAUGUCAGAAAUGGUGAAAAUAGAUUAAUUUAUGUUUUCUCCCAAAACCAGUGAUGACAAACCUAGAGUGACUGGAACAUCUAAAGUUCUACAGUAUAUUGUCCCAAAGUUGUGUGAAUUUUUUGCUG